AGACCCGAAACCCGGUGAUCUAGCCAUGGGCAGGUUGAAGGUUGGGUAACACUAACUGGAGGACCGAACCGACUAAUGUUGAAAAAUUAGCGGAUGACCUGUGGCUGGGGGUGAAAGGCCAAUCAAACCGGGAGAUAGCUGGUUCUCCCCGAAAGCUAUUUAGGUAGCGCCUCGUGAACUCAUCUCCGGGGGUAGAGCACUGUUUCGGCUAGGGGGCCAUCCCGGCUUACCAACCCGAUGCAAACUGCGAAUACCGGAGAAUGUUAUCACGGGAGACACACGGCGGGUGCUAACGUCCGUCGUGAAGAGGGAAACAACCCAGACCGCCAGCUAAGGUCCCAAAGUCAUGGUUAAGUGGGAAACGAUGUGGGAAGGCCCAGACAGCCAGGAUGUUGGCUUAGAAGCAGCCAUCAUUUAAAGAAAGCGUAAUAGCUCACUGGUCGAGUCGGCCUGCGCGGAAGAUGUAACGGGGCUAAACCAUGCACCGAAGCUGCGGCAGCGAACGUAUCACUUAAAACGAUUCAGAAGCUUACGAUUGACGGAGCGAAGCGACGUCAAAGCGUAUACAAAGUCGAGUCGGUUUAAGGAUACGUUCGUUGGGUAGGGGAGCGUUCUGUAAGCCGUUGAAGGUGUCCUGUGAGGGGUGCUGGAGGUAUCAGAAGUGCGAAUGCUGACAUAAGUAACGAUAAAGCGGGUGAAAAGCCCGCUCGCCGGAAGACCAAGGGUUCCUGUCCAACGUUAAUCGGGGCAGGGUGAGUCGACCCCUAAGGCGAGGCCGAAAGGCGUAGUCGAUGGGAAACGGGUUAAUAUUCCCGUACUUGGUGUUACUGCGAAGGGGGGACGGAGAAGGCUAUGUUGGCCGGGCGACGGUUGUCCCGGUUUAAGCGUGUAGGUGUGUGUUCCAGGUAAAUCCGGUUCACUUUAACACUGAGGCGUGAUGACGAGGCACCACGGUGCUGAAGCAACAAAUGCCCUGCUUCCAGGAAAAGCCUCUAAGCAUCAGGUAACAUCAAAUCGUACCCCAAACCGACACAGGUGGUCAGGUAGAGAAUACCAAGGCGCUUGAGAGAACUCGGGUGAAGGAACUAGGCAAAAUGGUGCCGUAACUUCGGGAGAAGGCACGCUGACAC
rnacentral:rRNA from 2 species